GUGUGGCACCAGGGGUCAGGCUGCAGUACCAGAACACAUGCUUGUGCAUAACUGGGGCUGACUGCUCCCCACAAGCAGCUCUUUUAAGCACAAGAAACAUGG